rnacentral:rRNA from 1 species
GAUGAACGCUGGCGGCGUGCCUAGUACAUGCAAGUCGAGCGAACAGACGAGGAGCUUGCUCCUCUGACGUUAGCGGCGGACGGGUGAGUAACACGUGGAUAACCUACCUAUAAGACUGGGAUAACUUCGGGAAACCGGAGCUAAUACCGGAUAACAUGUUGAACCGCAUGGUUCAACAGUGAAAGACGGUCUUGCUGUCACUUAUAGAUGGAUCCGCGCCGCAUUAGCUAGUUGGUAAGGUAACGGCUUACCAAGGCAACGAUGCGUAGCCGACCUGAGAGGGUGAUCGGCCACACUGGAACUGAGACACGGUCCAGACUCCUACGGGAGGCAGCAGUAGGGAAUCUUCCGCAAUGGGCGAAAGCCUGACGGAGCAACGCCGCGUGAGUGAAGAAGGUCUUCGGAUCGUAAAACUCUGUUAUUAGGGAAGAACAAAUGUGUAAGUAACUAUGCACGUCUUGUCGGUACCUAAUCAGAAAGCCACGGCUAACUACGUG